ACUCCCUAAUGCCUUGGGCAGUUCAAGCGCUCGGCCAGCAAGUGGCUUUCUUUGUCCUGGAGCUUUUCCCUAACUUCCUAGAGAGCUGAAAUGGGGCCUCGCCGCCUACCAGAUCACGCCCCCAGCCCAGGGCCCUGUGGAAGCUGUCGGCCUUUCUGGAGGGAGAGAGCGAUGCCAGAACCAGGACAAAGAAAAUGCUAAUGACCCGACUUCCUGGGUAAUUUUCUAUCUCCUCUGAGACUAAAAUCUUAACCGCUGAAAAUGGCUUCUCUGCCACUCUGUCAAAACAUCUUCCAAAAGGAUUUUGACACAAUCCGAGCACCUCCGAAAACACUUCCGAUGCACUUCAAUGAAUAAUUUAUAAAUAUACGUGUAUAUAUAUUUUCUUCCCUGGAACACAAAGCGACGAGAAACUGAAAGUCUGGAUAAAUGGUGAAUUUCACCAACUGGCA